rnacentral:rRNA from 1 species
CGCACAGGUGCUGCAUGGCUGUCGUCAGCUCGUGUCGUGAGAUGUUGGGUUAAGUUCCCGGCAACGAGCGCAACCCUUAUCCCCAGUUGCCAUCAGGGUAAAGCUGGGAACUCUGGGGAGACUGCCGGUGAUAAACCGGAGGAAGGCGGGGAUGACGUCAAGUCCUCAUGGCCCUUACAUCCCGGGCUACACACGUGCUACAAUGGCAGGUACAGAGGGCUGCGAAGCCGCGAGGUGGAGCGAAUCCCAGAAAACCUGUCUCAGUCCGGAUUGAAGUCUGCAACUCGACUUCAUGAAGGCGGAAUCGCUAGUAACCGCGAAUCAGCAGGUCGCGGUGAAUACGUUCUCGGGUUU